UCACUUCUAUUGGUAUUAAAUGACUUCCUGGUUUCCGGAAGGCGACGUUAGCCGAUGCCCUCAACUCAGCUACACAAAAUGCAAAUGUUCAUGAACGGACCCCACGGCAUUUGCUCCGCAAUCCAGCAGUGAUCAACUUGUGUGAACCCAGUUCCAGUGUUCCAGCGUCAACACACACGAACCCGGUAAAACCCAUCACUCGACAUUCGAAGAUGAAUUUCGAGAUGGCUGGAGCUGAGAGGAGGACGACAACUUGGGCCGGCCUGGCUCUCAUGGGCGUCCAAUUCGGCGCUUUAGCCCGUCUCACUUGGGAGGAAUACAGCUGGGAUAUUAUGGAACCCAUCACGUACUUUGUGACUGUUAAGUCAUAAUCCAAAUAUUGAAGCCCUUAUCAGUUCCAAUUCUUUGCUGCCACUAUAUUGUGGACAGUGAGUGUGCCACUAGAGGUUGCAGAGACCAUCAAAACAAGUUCUCAUUUAAGACGAUCUAGGAUUGAUUGAUUUGAGUGUAAUCCUUUACCGCAGUUCCAAAGACUUGAUUCUUUGGUGAAGCUGAGAAGAGAAUGCUGUAAUUCAAGACUGGCCGAUUAAUUGUGUAGUUACUAGUUAGCUAAAUUACAAGUGCAUAUCUGGGCUCCCUUCUUUUCUGUGGCCCCGUUUCCCUAACUAACCACUAACCAAC